rnacentral:rRNA from 1 species
GAUGAACGCUGGCGGCGUGCCUAAUACAUGCAAGUCGAGCGAACGGACGAGAAGCUUGCUUCUCUGAUGUUAGCGGAGGACGGGAGAGUAACACGUGGAUACCCCACCUAUAAGACGGGGAUAACUUCGGGAAACCGGAGAUUAUACCGGAUAAGAUUUUGCACCACAUGGUUCAAAAGAGAAAGACGGUCUUGCUGGCACGUAUAGAUGGAUCCGCGCUGCAUUAGCUAGUUGGUAAGGCAACGGCUUACCAAGGGAAGGAUGCAUAGGCGACCUGAGAGGGUGAUCGGCCACCCUGGAACGGAGACACGGUCCAGACUCCUACGGGAGGCAGCAGUAUCGAAUCUUCCGCAAUGGUGGGAAACCUUACAGAGCAACGCCACGUGAGUGAUAGAGGUCUUCGGAUCGUAAUACUCUGUUAUUAGUUAAGAACCUAUGUGUAAGUAACUGUGCACAUCUUGACGGUACCUAAUCAGAAAGCCACGGCUAACUACGUG